GUAGGGAGCAAGCGUUGUCCGGAUUCACUGGGUGUAAAGGGUGCGUAGGCGGGAAAGUAAGUCAGUGGUGAAAUCUCACAGCUCAACUGUGAAACUGCCGUUGAUACUGCUUUUCUUGAGUUCGGGAGAGGUUGAUAGAAUUCCAGGUGUAGCGGUGAAAUGCGUAGAUAUCUGGAAGAAUACCAGUGGCGAAGGCGGUCAACUGGCCCGAAACUGACGCUGAGGCACGAAAGCGUGGGGAGCGAACAGGAUUAGAUACCCUGGUAGUCCACGCCCUAAACGAUGAAUGCUUGGUGUUGGCCAGCAAUGGUCAGUGCCGAAGGAAACCUGUUAAGCAUUCCACCUGGGGAGUACGCUCGCAAGGGUGAA
rnacentral:rRNA from 1 species